rnacentral:rRNA from 1 species
AUUGAACGCUGGCGGCAGGCUUAACACAUGCAAGUCGAGCGGGUGAGGUUGCUUCGGUAACUGAGCUAGCGGCGGACGGGUGAGUAAAGCUUAGGAAUCUGCCUAUUAGUGGGGGACAACAUUCCGAAAGGGAUGCUAAUACCGCAUACGUCCUACGGGGAAAGCAGGGGAUCUUCGGACCUUGCGCUAAUAGAUGAGCCUAAGUCAGAUUAGCUAGUUGGUGGGGUAAAGGCCUACCAAGGCGACGAUCUGUAGCGGGUCUGAGAGGAUGAUCCGCCACACUGGGACUGAGACACGGCCCAGACUCCUACGGGAGGCAGCAGUGGGGAAUAUUGGACAAUGGGCGAAAGCCUGAUCCAGCCAUGCCGCGUGUGUGAAGAAGGCCUUUUGGUUGUAAAGCACUUUAAGCGAGGAGGAGGCUACUUGGAUUAAUACUCUAGGAUAGUGGACGUUACUCGCAGAAUAAGCACCGGCUAACUCUGUGCCAGCCGCCGCCGUAA